GGUAUGUCGUCUUUUGCUCCAGGUGCUUCUGCUCUCAGCACUUCGUGGUUGGUAAACUGAAAAGUACCGCUCACAAUAAGGCCUAUGAGAAAUAAGGAGAGCCUCCGGGCCGGAGUCUGGAGAUCUAGCUGCAUAGAUGAAACGAAGGCUCACAGCACAUUAGUCCACUCCAACCUGUGCAUGUGACUGGACCUGAAAAGUCGACCUUUUCCGGGAGUGGGUACUGAGGCCCUGCGGGCUGAUGCCAGACCAGGCUGCUCCUGCCACCAGGAGGGGCAAUGGGAAGCCCUGGCCUACUGGCAUUGAGCCUGGAUUCCUCCAUACACUGCUCUUUUCUUUAAGGUAUGAAAUAGAUUUCAUACACUUUUUUAGGUGUACUUAAUGUACUCACAGUGUUUUGUUUUGUUUUGUUGGGGGGGGGGGGGAUAGGAUCAACUGGAAAUGCACGGUUUGUAAGGUGAGAGGGGUUUUCUGUUUGUUUUCCCAUAACCUUGUACAUUGACAAGUUUUUACAAAAUGCCUAAGGCAAGAUUCUCAACAUAAAUAAUUUUUACUUUUCUAUUCCCUUACCGAAACUUAGCAUCCCCUUCAGUUAUGAGCUGAGGCAAGCAGCCACAGUGGUUUUAGAUAUACCUGUGACUUUCUCUCUAGUAGCAAUCCCAGAUAUUUUCAUAACACAUCAAAUUGCUGCAGAUUUUUCAAAAUAUUGUUUACAUUCAUCUUACAAUACUUCAUGAUAGCAUAGUUACCAGGCCACCUUCUAGACCCUGUGAUUUAAUGAGUUAACACAAAAGCACAUGUGUUAUGUCACCUAUUUGUUCCUUCCUAACAUUUCAUUGUUUGGUUUCCUACAUAAUCCUGUGUGUUUUAUGUAUUUAAGAACAUUUGGCCUAACUGUCCCUUCAGAGGAGAUGCUGUUAUUGGCCUGUGUGGUGUCCACUGGGAGAACAAUCCUGCCUCUAGAGUCUGUCUUAGGAGAUGGCCAUCAAAAUGCCCUCCCCUCUGGAGUCUGAUGCCCUCACUCUGGAAUUGGAAUCUUCAGCAAGGACAAAAAUGGUUGGCACUCAUUCCUGCUGAGGAAGGGUGCUGGAGGAAUAGGCCCUUCCUGCCAAGUUGCAUCUUAUUUCCAGGUCUUUCUGUUCAAAGUUCCUCCACUUUCCGUCCUUUUCUGGGAGCUCCCCUUAACCUAGAAAAGUCUGUCCUUACUGGUAAUCCCUGAGAAAAAAAGACACAUCUCCCUACAGUCCCCCAGAUCUCUUCCCCACAUAAGAAGGGACAAACUUCAUUAAGACCUUGUCCCCAUCAAAACACUCCCUCAAAGCAUGUACCUCAUUUGUAACUAAAUUAUGAUCGUUUUAAAUCUCCCCCUUCUAUUGCUGUCAAUUCCCACAGGGACUGGCCUUGUAUCUCAUUCUGUGACCUGUUCAAGAACUUGGUAAUAAUAACUGCUGCCUACUACUAGUAUGCCAGGUCCUGUUCCAAGGGCUCACUUUGGGCUCUAUAGAAAUACUGGCUUUAUUCCCUUUUAUUGAUGAGUCAAUCAAAGUACAGAGAGGUCAAGAAGCUUGCCCAGAGCCCCAUAGCUGAUAAGUGGUAGAACUGGGACUCGAACACAGACCAGCUCUAGGGUCAAGUAUAUCAAUAAGUGUACAGCACGGCACAUACACUCUGAACUCCUGGUGGGCAGCAUGUCCUGGUGCUAAGGAUGCAGGCUGGGGAAGGCUCUGCCUCAUUGCUACUGACUAGAGAACCCCUCCCUUGGCAGCGGCUUCUCCAGGAUCCCUCUCUUGUACUUACUUCCUUGACAAUAUUCCUCCGUGUUUGCCAAGCCCCAGCUUCAGUAGCCUCUACCACAGAAAGAAAAUAUCUUUGUUUCAUAUUUGUCAAGAGUUCCAUUUCCAAAUGAACCAGACUGAACGCUUUCAAGUUUCAUCUCAUUUAAUCCCCUCUCUAAUCCCAUGAGGUAGAUACUGUUAUUAAUUCUUUCACAGAGAAGAAAAGAAAGGUUCUAGUAAGAAGUAGAAGGUUGACUCAUCCAAAGAGCAUACAGUGAGUCCUCAGCCUAAUUUGAACUGAGCACUGUAUGAUUCCAAAGCUACCAGUGUUUCUGCAAGCCCGCUAGACAGAGAAGGAACUUUGGGAAAACAAAAAUCCCACUCUGAUUGGCGACUGACCCACAUAGGAAUGUUUUGCAUAACAUCCUAGGAGCUAAUAAUUGCCCUCCAAUAGCUGUCAGAAAGCAAUCUGGGAACUUAUUCAUGUUUUCCUCCUUUGCCCUGGACCAACGGGACCCCUAAGGGAGUUGAGCAGGAGGACCUGUAUGAGGAGAUGGCAGAGGGUGUUAAGUGUCGAUUUUUGUUUGUUUGUUUGUUUUUGUUUUUUGGACCCAGGGAUUGAACCCAGGGGUGCUUAACCACUGAGCCACAUCCCCAGAAUUUUUUAAAUAAUUAAUUAAUUUUAAAAAAUAUUUUAUUUUUUAGUUGUAGUUAGACAUAGUACUUUUUUUUUAUUAUUUUUAUGUGGUGCUCCUUAGUAUCCUGGUCUGUAAAAUGGGGCACAUUUUACAGUAGCAACCUCACAGAGUUGCCACAAGGGUUCACAGAGGUCUGCAUAUAAAGCAUUGAGAACAGCAUCUGAGUAGUCAGGUCCUGCCUUGCUGGGCCUCAGUAUAGUCCUGAGCCUCAGAAUAGUCAUACGGGGUAAAAUCAGUAUGUGGCUUCAUGACCAGUAUAUGAUAUUCAGGAUGAGAGGUAUAGACUAUUUUUAAAAGAUGAUCUAGUUGGUUGGAUAAAGUUUAAGGGCAGGUAAAAAGAGAAUUUAUGAUGGAAAUUCAAGUAAUUUUUUGAUGAUUGGGAAGCUUCCUGAUGAGAAGAAAUGGGACCCUUUCCAUUUUUAUAUCUCUAGUUAUAGAACCUGACACAGAGAGGAGACGUUUGCUGUUCUUUUUCACACCAACAGUCAUCUUUCUGCAGCUGCUGGCCAGGGCUGAGGAGCUGACUUGGUCCUAAGAGUCAGGAACAGGGCUUAUUAGCUAUGCUGGGCCGAUUUGGGCCUUUCAAAAAAUUAACAGUACUUCCUUCAUAUUAUAAGUAUUGAAAUUUUCAAUGACAAGGGCCUCUUUUUUGCUUUAACUAAUAUAGACUUGAUUUUCUGUCACUUGUGAUGGAAAGAGCUCUUACUGAUUGGGUAUCCAUGAAAUAUUUGCUGACCAAAUUAAUGAGCUUUUUUUUUUUUCCUGUCUGUCUAUCUAUCUAUCUAUCUAUCUAUCUAUCUAUCUAUAUCUCUCUAUCUUUUUGAUACUGGGGAUUCAAUCCAAGGGUGCUUUACCACUGAGCUACAUCCCCAGCCCUUUUUAUUCUUUUAAAACAGUCUUGCUAAGAAGCCUAGGCUUGCCUUGAACUUAUGCUCCUCCUGCCUCAGCCUCCUGAGUAGCUGGGAUUAUAGGAAUGUGCCACUGCACCUAGCAUGAAUGAGCUUUUUGUUUUUUAAACGUCUUCAGUUAAAUUUUACUGAAGGAAAUCUCACUGAGAUGAGACUAGUCUGUACAUAAGAUUCUUCCACAUAAACAGUGCUUUGCAGUUUGCUGUUUGUAAACUCUUAUAAUUUCACCUUAGCUCCCCAAGGAUCUAGGGUCCUGGAGCUGUCAAUGAUACAAGUAACUAUUUUUCAAAGAGACUCAAUAGAUAUUUUAUCAUAAAUUAAAAACGCCUAUCACUCAUCGUGUACAAUUUUAAUAUAUGCAACUACAUAUUACUAUACAAUAUGUAAUUUAUAUAUUAGAAUAUAUAACACAAUAUAUAUCAUUUACUUUAACAUGUAAAAUUUAAAAAUACCAAAUAUUGGUUAAAAAAAAAAAGUCAACCAGUUUACAUAACUCCAUACCUGAAAAUAGUUUUUUUUCCAUCAGGAGAAAUAAACACUUCCUUUUAAAAAAUUUUUUUUCUUUUUUAGUUGUAGUUGGACACAAUACCUUUAUUUUAUAUAUUUUCAUGUGGUGCUGAGGCUCGAACCCAGGGCUUCAAGCGUGCUAGGUGAGCCCUCUACCUCUGAGCCACAACCCCAGCCCUGAGCACUUUCUUAACAGGAUAUAAAAAAGAUCUAUUCAUUUAAGGUCUCUUAGCUUAAAAGGUCAAUAAGACAAUUUAGUUUUAACAUUUUGGAUGAUAGAACUGGGGGUGCAGCUCAGUAAUGGAGCACUGGUCUAGCAUGUUUUAGGCCCUGAGUUCCAUCCCCAGCUUUAAAAAAAAAGAAGAAAAUUAGCUGGGUUUAGUGCCAAACAACUAUAAUCCCAAUGAUUCAGGAGGCUGAAGAAGGAGAAUUGCAAGUUCAAGACAAACCUCAGCAAUUUAGCAAAGUCCUAAGUACUUAGCGAGAUCCCAUCUCAAAAUGAAACCAAAAAACAAAAAACCGACUGGGGAUGUGGCUCAGUGGAUAAACAACCUUGGGUUCAAAAAAAUAAUAAUAGUAACUCCAAGAAUCUCAAUCUACAUGUACUGCCAACUCCGGUUCACUUUUGUACACUUUUUUAUCACACACUAAAUAAAUAUUGACUUUUAGAAGUGACAUUUUGGUCAAUUGCUGAAAAAAAAAUCUCUAUACAGGUAGACACCAUAAGGCUCCAUCCCUGAAGCCAUGUCAUCUGGGCACAUAUCCUCCCAGAUGGAAGAACCCUUCAUUCCUGAGGGAUGGAAAAGUCCACGGUCUCUGAGACCUAGCCGGUCCCUGCGACCUUUUUGCCAGUUCCAGAAUUGUGCAUUCCACUUCCUGAGCUGUCACAGCUAGACAGGGCGAGCCCAACUAGCAGUGCCCUCUAUAAGAUGAGCAUAGUGCCACCCACACUAUGAGCACAGCUUUGACCUUCAGCCCUGACCUACACCUGCUGGGUCCUGCAGCAGUCCAUUUCAUGUGCCCAAGGUGAUAAGUGGGUUUCUUUUUCUUUCUUUCUUUCUUUCUUUUUUUUUAGUUAUAAGUGGACACAAUAUCUUUAUUUUAUUUAUGUGGUGUUGAGGAUCAAACCCAGUUCCUCAUGGAUGGUAGGCGAGCACUCUACCUCUGAGCCAAAAUCCCAGCCCCAUAAGUGGGUUUCUUGCAAUUUGUUUGUCACAGAUUUUUAGCUUAAAAUAUCAGCCAUACUGAAUAUAAAUGGGAUGAGAGAAAUGUGUAUUUCUCUCUUGCAGAGACAUUUCCAUUGAUGAGUAAAUUGGGCUAGAUUCUCCAGGUCAAGCAUGCUUGUGGAAAUGACCUUGCCAUUCUGUUAGAAGGGGACAUGCUCCCAUUCCCUCCCCGGAACAAAAAGCAUUUUAGUCAUCCAUCCAUGCAACAGGGGAAAAUGAGAACAAGAUACUAUGGGGAGGUAUUUGCAGGUGGGGAGCCUCUUCUCCCAAAUUCUAUGUUCAGAAGUAUAUGGCUGUGUGGCUUUUGCAUUUAAUUGUCAGAAUUGAAAGAGAAGAUUCUGUCUUUUGUUCUUCAAGUAAAACAAUGGAGCCAGGAGGAACACAUCUGUCAUCCUAGGGGUGAGUGGGCAGGAUGAGGCAGGAGGAUAACAAGUUCAAGGCCAGCCUCAGCAACUCAAUGAGGCCCUAUCUCAAAAUAAACAAUAAAAAAUGAGUUGGGGAUAUAGCUCAUUGGUAGAGUGUCCCUGGGUUCAAUCCUUAGUACCAAAAGAAAAAUAAUGGACCAGUUUGAUCAUUGUAAAAAAUUGUUCCAUUUGGAUUGGCUUAUAUUUAUUUAUCUAUUCCUUACUUUCUUCCAGAAAGGUUUUCUGGUGGCACUGGCUAAUUGUGAUCAUGUAGGCAUUACUGUCCAAGUUUAAGGCAGGGAAGCCCCUCAAGUUGGCAUCUGCUGAAAUCAGCAGCCACAGGUCCUAUUAGGGGGUUCACAAGGGCUUGCCACCCCUGUAUGCCCCAAGGAAACUGGUGAUACUCCCCUGACCACAGCUGCUAGACCCAGGCAGGUGCCUGAGCCAAGAUAAUUGUGGACCAGCCAGGCUUGAGAGGGAAACCAAUCAUCAGUGGAGUUAGUCUCGUCAGUAGGGAUGAUUCAAGCUGAAUGGUGACAAAGCAUCCCAAUUGUGUCUUCUUUCAGGAAGAAGGGAUCAUAGCUGUUCCCAAUCGAGAGGACAAGCUCAGGGUCACCAGAGCUGCUGCUGCAUUGCGUGAUGAUGCAGCUGGCAGAACUUCCCAGCCUUGGAAGCUCAGGCAGUUCUCCCCACAAUGCUCAGGGCAUCACAGAGAUGCCAAAUCAGCAGUUCCAGAAAUGGCCGUGACCUUGACCAGGGCAGGGUGGUCUCUUUGUUAGAGGGAGGGCUCUGUGGCAUUCUGGAGACCCCACUGAGAGGUCAUCCUCUAGCCCUUCCAAAGGAUCUGCUCUCCUGCACUAAGUCACUUUCUAAUUAAAAUAUUUAGAAAAGUCCCUCUUUCUUGAGGUUGAACCCUCACUGAUCCCAAUACCCUAUUCUCAGCUCCCCCUGUUCCUGCUGUAUGGGUCACAUGAUUGUUUUACUUUCUCCACCAACAAAGCAUGAGCUCCCCAAGGGCAGGGCUGAGUCUGGGUUCUACUGUGUCUCCAUUCCUUGAGGUAUGGCUAGCUCAAAGGAGGGACCCUAUCAGUAUUUCUUGAAUGAAUACAUGAAUCUCCCCAGGGAAAAUAAUUUUUUUUUAAUUCUGUACCCAUUGUCUCAUUCUGUUUAUUUCAAGCAAAAAGAAACAUAAUGCAGGACUUUACUAUGUGAAUAAAGAUGGAAGGGCUGGAGGGGUAGAUGUCAGAUGGUGACUUACAUAAGUUCACAAUGUCACAUCUAUAAUCUGGAUCCAAAUUCUGAAGGAAAGAAGACCACUGUCUUGCUUCAGCUACCACUGUUGCUGCCACCAUGACAUAAAGCCAGUGACAGUAAGUGAUACGUGGAAGUGAGCUGCCACAGUCUGGUUAGCCAGAGCUUGCUGACCUGUGCUAAGGCCAUAUGAGUGUUCAUAGCAGCAUGUAGUCACAACCAGACCCUUGCCAGAGCAUCCGGCAGCCUUCUACCUCGUAGGGGAACACAGAAGAGGCUGGGAAUGGAGGCCAAACUCCAACAAAUGAUAUCUGGCAGACACAGCCAUACAACUGUAUCUGCACCUCUUCUGCCUUGUCUAGGACAUGGGAGUAUACACGCUGCCUUCCUGUGCCUGGCUCAGGGUCUAUCAGAGAGCAUGUGCUCCAUUAAUGUCUUUGGCCAAGUCACUCAUAUUUUCCAUGGGUUCCCAGGGUUAGGGAUCCAGAGUUGCUGCCUGGCUACUCAUAGAACUGCCAGAAACCCACCACCAAGCCCCACUUGUCCUCCCAGGGAAAAGAGGCUGCAUGCUAGGGCCUGGGACCUGAACUGUAUCCAUCUCUGGGACCAGCAGCAUCUUAGAAAGCAAAGGAUUUGCUGGGCCUGGUGGUUCACACCUGUAAUCCUAGCCACUCAGGAGGCUGAGUACGAGGCCAGCUUGGGCAACUUAGUGAGAACCUGUCUCAAAACAAAAAAUUAAAAGGCUGGAGAUCUAGCUCAGUAGUAGAGUACGCCAAGUCCAAGUCCAAUCCUCAGUACCAAAAAAAACAAAACAAAACAAAACAAAAACAAGCAAAGGAUAUAGCUCCCAGAGGGUGAUAAGGCAUAUUGAGGGGAGGUAAUUCUGGGGAAGGCUGUAACCCCAGGAAUCCACAGGAAGAGAAGACAGGUUAGCCACCCCUCCGCAUGUUUGUAAAGAAACACAGUGGCUCUCAAAUGUCAGAAAAAAAAAAAUUAAGCGUAGCUAGUAUCUGAGAGGCAGGAACCCAGGGACAUGUAACUUGCUGAAGAUUGAGCCCCCACAGGAAGGGUCAAGGAGCCAAAAUGACUGUCCUGACCUCCCAACUUGGAAAUACCCAACCCUCAACUCUGGUGGCUGGUGGAAUCCAGCUGUUUUGGUUUGUCCUCAUUCAGGGGCUCCUGAUUGGGUCUGCAAUCUGUACCUGGCAAAGAGCAGUCUCUGAGGACCCAUUCAAGUUCAUCUAGCUUCAUGCCAAUCCUGGGUUUAAUGGUCUGCAAAGAGACCACAGGGGAGGCCACGGUCAGGCUGGAGCCUGUAAAUCUGAACCUGAGCUCCACCAGGUGAGGGCAGCGGGGGAAGACUUGGAAAAGCCAUCAGGCUUCUAGUCCUUGUCAGGAAUGGCAUCUUAUGUGGCAUCUUAUGUAUCGUCCAGGGACCCCCAGAGCCAGAUGGGAGCAGCAAACACUAGCUCUUGGUCAUCUUCAGGCCUCACCUCCACCCUGAAACUUCUGAGGGGGGCUGAGGCUCUACCCCUUCCCAGAAGCACCAGAAAUCAACACCAGUGAUACCUCUAGGUAGAGGGACACAGUGAGGGGAUGACAGGGUGGGGGGACCUUGUAUUUAAAUCCUGUUGUAGCUUCCAAAUUUUGAAUUAUGAACUUGUUGCCUGUUCAAAAAUAAUACAUUAGGGACUCGGGGCAUGGCUCAGUGGUCAAGCACUUGCCUGUCAUGUGCAAGGCCCUGGGUUCAUCCAAAAUACACAGAGAAGAAGGAGAAGACAAGAAAGAAGGCGGAGUCCAGCAUGAUAGCUCACACCUGUAAUCCCAGUUGAUUCCAACAAUUUGGUAGGUUGAGGCAGGAGGAUCACAAGUUGGAGGCCAGCCUGGGUAACUUAGUGAGACCCUGUCUCAAAGGUCUGGGGAUGUGUUUAGUACUAGGGUGCCCCUGGGUUCAAUCUCUAAGACAAGAAAAAAAGAGAGAGAAAAUUGUAAGGGUUGGGGGAAGAGAAAGAAAACAAAGAAGGAAAAUAGAAGGAAAGGAAGAAAGAAGGAGGAAAAAAAAACAGUUAUUUUCUCUCUCCAGAAUAGUUGAUAGACUUGAGGCUGGGGUGUGUUCAAGUCACUUUGAUUCCUCCCUGGGCCACAUCUGUGUUGUUACACCCCCUCCCCAAAACACACAUACUCCUGCUUUCCACAUGCAGCCCCCAAAUAGAUACAGCUCCCACCUAAGCCCCAGAAAGGCAGCUAAAGGUAGCAAGUGAUCCCAGUGGUGCUCAUCAGAGACUCUGUCUAGACUGUGUGUGUGUGUGUAUGUGUGUGUACACAUGUGGGUGCAUGUGGUACUGGGGUGUGAACCCAGGGGUGCUCCACCACUGAGUUGUAUCUCUGCCCUCCACUCCCAUCCCCCUUCUUUUGUUGUUAUUUGUUUGCUUUUAAUUUUGAGACAGGGCCUCAUUUUGUUGCUGAGGCUGGCCUCAAAGUUGUGAUCCUCCCACCUUGGCCUCCCAAGUAAUUGAGAUUACAGGCAUGUGCCACUGCUCCCAGUUUAGAACUUUUACAACUACUUAGGAAAGAGUCAAAUCUCAAAGCUGAGUGGAUGCAAGGUUAGGUUAGAGCAUCUGGGCCCAGUGGUUUGGAGAAAGGUGGUCUGAUCUGUAGAAAGAAGAGAGAAGAGUCACACAAGACCCCAAUGGGAUCAGAUUCCUGUUGUCCCUUCCCUUUCUGCAGUUUGGCUAUAAGUGCCAAAAUUGGUUUGAAUUAGAUUUCUGGUGCUUAUAGCCAAAGAAUCCUAAGUGAUUGGUCUUCCCCUCAGUAAAAUAACAGGGCGCAGUAGGGCUGCUAGUCUGUCAGGGGCCGGUGACUUUGGCCUAGGUGUUCCAACACCAUUGUCCCCCAAACCUUGGGAUGAACCAGGAUUUGGCCUGGCUGUGGUGGCCCCAGCUCAGGGGUAGAGGGACCUUAACCUUCCCCCUCCCCAAUGUCAGGUGGACUCGCUCCGUCUCAGCAUCCAAGAGGUUGGGCCAAAUGAAAAGAAGCAAUUUGGCUGCCCCUCUGGCCCAGUCCUGCCAUCACUUGACCUCUGCUGGACUGUCGAGCUCAGAGGGGAGGUGAGCACACAACCAAAGCCUCCUCUGAGUAGAGAAUGUGCACAUGUCAUCACAGUUAAACCUCAUGAGCUCUGAAAGGUCGUUAUUUUCCCAUUCUAGAGAUGAGGACACUGAGUCCCAGGGAGAUGCAGUAUCAUGAGCUUCAGAGUGCACAGCUCGGGCUGGUGUAGCCAGGACGCAAACUCCUCUCCUCAGAGACCUUCACUUGGCCAUGCUGCAGGGUCUGCUGCUCUUUGGGAGGCCCCUGAACCCCUGCAGGAUCUCCAGACAGACCCAGGAAGGGAAAGGCAUCCGCUCUUUUCCAGUGGCUCAGCCACCAGGAGUCCUAAGGCUGCUGGCUCCAUGGACCUUUGUAUGAAGUCUCAAGCUGAAAGGCUCAAACCCAGAGCAGUGGGCCACUCCACUGCUACGUGGCCUCACACGGGGGCCUUCUGAGAACCUCCAUUCCCUCAUGAGCAAAACAGAGAAAAGGCUUUCUCUACCUCCCUCACGGCCAGCUGACCUCAGGUGAAAAAGCCUGAGGACACUGCGCUGCUCCCCUCUGGUGUCCGUUCUGGGUGCCUUUGAGCUUAAGGGCUGUGUCCUCUUCCCCUUGCCAGCCAUGCCCCAUGCCAAUGGCUGACUCCUGAGACCAGCCAAGAUGCUGACGCUUUAGUUCUGCCUAAGGGACCCGAGCAGAAAAUGGAGUUAACCGGGGAAGUGGAAGCUCAACAUCUCUCCCAAAUUCCCAGUUGUUUCUUUUCUUUUCUUUUUUUUUAGUGACCAAUAUUUUUCUGUAUUUUUUUUUAACCAAAACACAACCUCCCCCCAAAAAAUUAACUGAAGAAAUUUUAGAAAAUCCAUAAAACUCAGCAUAUAGUCAGGGUUUAUUAUUCACAGAUUUGGUAUCUGUGAAUUUGCCUACUCUCUCACAUUUAUUUCUGACUCUAAAAUCAAUAUUUAGAGUGCAUUCACAGCUAAAGACAUUCAGUGAGUGGUUAAAAAACAAAUAAAACGUGUGUGUGUGUGUGUUUGAGUGUGUGAGCGAGCACACUAUGAACUGAAUCCAGCACAUUGUGCAGCCUAGGCUAGGCAAGUGCUCUACCACUGAGCCUCAUCUUCAGCCCUAGAGUGGUGAAGAACCUGAGAGGUUGAACAAUUUUGAUGUCUGCCUUCUAUUUCAGCUCUUGAGCUGUAAAAAGAUGUACUUUUUGCAUCCUAUUCCAGACCACUUUUUUUUUCACAUUUUGUGCUUUUUUUUGUUGUUGAUUUUGCUAUUGAAGAUGGGCCCCCAAGCAUAGGGCUGAAGUAUGCCUAGUGUUCCUAAGUGCAGAGUGGCUGUGAUGUGCUGUUAGUUAGAUUUCUGUUGCUAUGACAAAAUGCCUGAGACAAUUAAUGUUAAAAGAGGAAAGGUUAAUUUUGGCUUACUGCUUCAAAGGGUUCAGUCUAAGGUCACUUGGUUCCAUUGCUUUUGGCCCAUGGCAAGGCAAAAUAUUGUGGAGUACAUGGUAAAGUAAAGCUGUUCAAAUCAUAACAUGGGGAAGCAAAAGAGAGAGAAAGAGCAAGGGGUAGAGUCUCAAUAUCCCUGUUAAGGACACACCCCUAGUGACCUAACUUCCUCCCACUAGGUCCCACCUCUAAAGGUUUCACAACUCUCAGCAGCACAAAGGCUGGUGAACAGCCUUCAACACAUGACCUUUGGGGGACAUUUAAAAUUCAAACCAUAACAUGUGCCUGACAGACAAAUGCUUGUGUUAGAUGAUCUAAGCUUUGUUCAAGAAGAAGUUACAGAACUGUCAGUCAUGAGUUCAAUGCUAGUGAAUCAACAAUAUGUAUUAAGUAACAUGUUUUUAGGGUAAGGUGGGACACACCUGUGAUCUCAGGGACUCAGGAGGCUGAGACAGGAGGAUUGCAAAUUCAAUAACUUAGCAACACCCUGUCUUUUUUUUUUUUUUUAAGAGAGAGAGAGAGAGAGAGAGACAGAAUUUUUUUAAAUAUUUAUUUUUUAGUUUUCGGCGGACACAACAUUUUUGUUUGGUAUGUGGUGCUGAGGAUCGAACCUGGGCCGCACGCAUGCCAGGCGAGCGCGCUACCGCUUGAGCCACAUCCCCAGCCCAACCCUGUCUUAAAAUAAAAAAUAAAAAGGGAUGGGAGUUGUAGCUCAGUAGCAGAGCACCCCUCGUUUCAAUCCCCAGUACUAGGGGGAAAAAAAUGUUGCCACCAGGGGCUCAUGGAAACUUUAUCCUAUAUUUCUCCUAAAAACAAUGGUUCAGUAUUUGCUAAUUUGGUGUUCAUGGGAACUUUAUAGAACACAACUACAACAAAUAAUGAAAAUUGUUUAUUAGUCAGGAUGCUCAUAGUGUUCAGCUGAAUGAAAGCUGUGGGUUGCAGAAUACUGGGCAUAACAUGAAAAACAAAUCAAAUAAAGCAAAGAGUUGUUUUUUCUUUUUUUCUUUUUGAAGGCCUCCAUGUGUGCAUCCCUACUUCGCUGGAACAUGGAAAAGACCACAAAGAGAUUGAACCCAGCUUUCCUUUAUGGAGGGGGAACAAUACGAGGGGAUGAUGGUUAAAUAUUUUCUUUACACGCCUCUGUUGUUUGUUUUGCUUUGAGAGUCAUG
rnacentral:lncRNA from 1 species